CUAUUCAACUGGCAGGUGGGGAGAUUCCCUGAUCAAGAUGGCACUUCAACGAGGGGAAGUGUCAGCCUUUAUACUCAUGGUUGUGCUGGCCCGUGAGAAUUCCCCUAAAUACGGGAAUCUCCACUUCAUAAUUUGUGGUAGUUGGGGAGCUGUGGCAUAGUGUCUGA